rnacentral:tRNA from 1 species
ACGCUCUUAGUUCAGUUCGGUAGAACGCGGGUCUCCAAAACCUGAUGUCGUAGGUUCAAAUCCUACAGAGCGUC